AUUGAACGCUGGCGGCAGGCCUAACACAUGCAAGUCGAGCGGUAACACAGGGAGCUUGCUCCUGGGUGACGAGCGGCGGACGGGUGAGUAAUGUCUGGGAAACUGCCUGAUGGAGGGGGAUAACUACUGGAAACGGUAGCUAAUACCGCAUAACGUCGCAAGACCAAAGAGGGGGACCUUCGGGCCUCUUGCCAUCAGAUGUGCCCAGAUGGGAUUAGCUAGUAGGUGGGGUAACGGCUCACCUAGGCGACGAUCCCUAGCUGGUCUGAGAGGAUGACCAGCCACACUGGAACUGAGACACGGUCCAGACUCCUACGGGAGGCAGCAGUGGGGAAUAUUGCGCAAUGGGCGCAAGCCUGAUGCAGCCAUGCCGCGUGUAUGAAGAAGGCCUUCGGGUUGUAAAGUACUUUCAGCGGUGAGGAAGGCGUUGUGGUUAAUAACCACAGCGAUUGACGUUACCCGCAGAAGAAGCACCGGCUAACUCCGUGCCAGCCGCCGCGGUAA
rnacentral:rRNA from 1 species